GUUAUCUCUGAUGAUGAACUGGUGUCCUACAUCUUGUCGGGCCUUGAAGAAAAUUACAAUCCGGUGGUCUCGGCGGUUCUAGCCCGUGAAGAACCAGUAACGCCUGGGGCCCUGUAUGCUCAGCUUUUGAGCCAUGAAU
rfam:Zea mays cultivar B73 chromosome 8, whole genome shotgun sequence.